AGUUAAAGUUCACGUUAUCUUGCUUUUCCUCUUCGUGCGAUUAUUCUUCCAUAAUUUUUCUCUCUUCCUCUGCUCUCCGCUGGAAGACAACGGCGGCGUAGCUCCGGUGCGGAAUCUCUUCAUAAGAACCAUCGAUCCGCCAAGGAGAGUUUACAGAGACCGCGAUCGAGCGCGCCGUGGACAAUGGAAGUGGUAAACAAGUACGUCUCCCACAAGCACCACGUCGAUGGCUACCCGUCGGAAUCCGACUUCGAGCUCGCCACCACGCCGCUACAGCCCGCCCCCGGAUCCGACGAAGUCAUCGUCAAGAACCUUUUCCUCUCCAUCGACCCCUACCAGCUCAACCGAAUGAAGCGCUACAGCUCGUCUCACACGGCCAUCACCGCCGCCUCCAAAAUCGAGCCCGGGCAGAGGAUCGACGCGUACGGGGUGGGGAAGGUUGUGGCCUCUGGGAGGGCGGAGCUGGAAGAGGGUGAUGUGGUGGCCGGAUUGCUGGGGUGGGAGCAAUACACGGUGGUCCGGCCGGGGACCGUCUUGAUGAAGGUGGACGCGAAGGAUCUCCCUAUUUCGUACUACGCCAACGUUUUGGGACCGAGUGGGUUGACAGCGUUCGCCGGUUUCUACGACGUUUGCAAGCCGAAGAAGGGAGAGAAGGUCUUCAUCUCGGCGGCGUCGGGUUCAGUCGGGAGCUUGGUCGGCCAGUACGCCAAGCUCUCCGGCUGUUAUGUCGUCGGAUGCGCCGGGAGCAAGCAAAAGGUGGAUCUGCUAAAAGGCAAGCUCGGAUUCGACGACGCGUUCAACUACAAGGAAGAAGCCGAUCUCAAGUCUGCUCUGAGAAGGUACUUUCCCGAAGGAAUCGACAUCUACUUCGACAACGUCGGCGCCGCCAUGUUGGAGGCAGCAGUGGCCAACAUGAACCCGUUCGGCAGGGUGGCAGUGUGCGGGGCGAUAUCGGAGUACACGAACGCCGGCGAGAGAGCGGCGCCGGACCUGAUUGAUAUAAUCUACAAGCGCAUCACGCUGCGUGGGUUCUUGUCCGUGGACUACCUCCACUUGCACGAACAGUUCUCGGCCGCCACCUCGGACCACCUUCGCCGUGGCAGAAUGAUUGCGCUAGAAGAUGUAUCCGUCGGCAUCGAGAGCGUGCCGACGGCAUUUGUGGGGCUCUUCAGAGGUGAUAACGUAGGGAAGAAGCUCGUACGGGUGGGUGAAUUAGAAGGCUGAGCUUUAACUACUUGCAGCAAAAAGGUGAAAUCCUCGCCCCCGGUCCCACCGACCGGGGAAGAAGCUAUUACUGUUGAUGUGGAUUUGGGGUUGAUCGUGUCAAGCUCAAGAUGGGAUGACUAAGUAAAGUAACCACAGUCAGUAACUUCGACCGGCUGAAUACAAGUCAGGUCGGUCGUAAUUGUAAGUAGAUGAUCUCGUUCGGAAGCUGAGUCGGAUGAAGACGGGUCUUGUUAUGCGGAAAGUUGACGGAAAGUCGUUGAAGAGUUGAAUCUAUCAGACACCCCCUGGAAAGGUUGGCAUGGGCGGCUGACGGAGAGAGAUGACCAGGACGAUGAUGUUGUCGCUCUGCACACACUCAGACGAGUCCACU